rnacentral:rRNA from 1 species
UGGGGAAUAUUGCACAAUGGAGGAAACUCUGAUGCAGCGACGCCGCGUGAGUGAAGAAGGUCUUCGGAUCGUAAAACUCUGUCCUUGGUGACGAAAAAAUGACGGUAGCCAAGGAGGAAGCCCCGGCUAACUACGUGCCAGCAGCCGCGGUAAUACGUAGGGGGCGAGCGUUGUCCGGAUUUACUGGGCGUAAAGGGUGAGUAGGCGGUAAUAUGUGUCAGAUGUAAAAGGCUAUGGCUUAACCAUAGUUAGCAUUUGAAACUGUAUUACUUGAGUGCAGGAGAGGUAAGUGGAAUUCCUAGUGUAGCGGUGAAAUGCGUAGAUAUUAGGAGGAACACCAGUGGCGAAGGCGACUUACUGGACUGUAACUGACGCUGAGUCACGAAAGCGUGGGUAGCAAACA